UCUAAUAAUGAGACAAUAGGGCCCGCAGCAAGGCUGAGUGUAACAGAGCAUCUGUUUGGGGCCCGUGGUCUACACCUUGAUCACAUGCUGCGAGGACGAGGCCACCAUGAAGGAGCUGCUGUCAGUGAGCCAUUAUAAAUACAGCUCCCCGCACCCUGUGGUAGUGCCUCCGCCCCCCGUUGCCAUGACAAAGAGCAGGAGUGGGAGGAGCAACGGCAUCAUCAAAUGUGGAGAGCAAGAGUAGUACAAACACCAACAGUAACCGUAGCACCAACAACAGAACUACCCCAACUAACAAAAGCACUGCCAACAGCAUAACUACCUCAACUGUCAGCAGAAGCAGCAGCCAUAGGCCACAGAAGACUUGGAAGAGGAGGAGGAGGAUGAUGAUGAGGAACUAGUGGUUGUUCCUGAAACAGAGAGCUAUGUCAACCGGAGGAAAAAGAUGGGGAAGAAGCAUGAAGGGAGGACAGAGGGCAGUCAGCAGGAGAACGCCAAACUGUGUCGAGAGUUCAGGAGAAAACAGUCAUCCAGGCGCUUCACCUCCAUGCUGCAUCAGAGACAGAAGCUGCCUACCUGGAUUGAGAAGGAGAACAUCAUGGACCUGCUGGUGUGGUAAGACCACCCAGAUCCCUCAGUUCAUUCUGGAUGCGUCUCUGAUUGGGCCUGCCGACCAGGUGGCUAACAUCAUCUGCACCCAGCCCCGCCGUAUCUUUGCCAUCUCCAUGGCUGAGAGGGUGGCACAGGAGCGGUACAGAACGCCUCUGUAACUCCGGGGCUACCAGAUCCGCCUGGAGACCGUCAGGGCUGCUGUACUGCACCACACCACAGGAGUGCUGCUGAGGAGGCUGGAGGGGGAGGCAGACCUCACAGGGAUCUCUCAUAUCAUAGUGGAUGAGGUACACAAGCGCACAGAGGAGUGACUUCCUCCUGCUGGUGUUGAAAUAUCUGUUGGUCCAGAGCCUAGACCUGAAGAUCACCCUGAUGAGUGCCACCCUCAACGGCACACGUCUUCAGUGUCGGCAUACAGUUGAAGUCGGAGGUGAGGUCUCCUCAUGAGAAGUUCAAGCAGACCAGCAAAAGGAGCGGUGAAGAUGCAGCCCAAAGCAGACGAGCUGCGCUACGUGACCAAGAAUGACGGCUGUGUCCACGUUCAUCCCACCUCCGUCAACUAUAAUGAUUUAUAAACUGUUUGUCAAUCAGCUCUGUGUUCCUGACCUCCUGUGUGUGCAUGCAGGUGGCAGAGCUGGUGAAGGAGCUGGGAGCAGGACCAGCUCCUGGAAGAUAAGAUCAGAAACCCCAGCAUGGACCUGUGUACUUGCCCCCGAAUCAUCCACAUGAUCGUCAAUAAAAAUGGGUUAUUUAACUAAAAUGGUAAUUUGCCAUUGUGUGUAUAAACUCAGCAAAAAAAUAAACGUCCUUUCACUGUCAACUGCGUUUAUUUUCAGCAAACGUAACGUUUAAAUAUUUGAAUGUACAUAACAAGAUUCAACAACUGAGACAUAAACUGAACAAGUUCCACAGACAUGUGACUAACAGAAAUGGAAUAAUGUGUCCCUGAACAAAGGGGGGGGUCAAAAUCAAAAGUAACAGUCACUAUCUCGUGUGGCCACCAGCUCCAUUAAGUACUGCAGUGCAUCUCCUCCUCAUGGACUGCACCAGAUUUGCCAGUUCUUGCUGUGAGAG